rnacentral:rRNA from 1 species
UACGUAGGGGGCAAGCGUUGUCCGGAAUCAUUGGGCGUAAAGAGCGUGUAGGCGGCCCGGUAAGUCCGCUGUAAAAGUCAAAGGCUCAACCUUUGAAUGUCAGUGGAUACUGCCGGGCUAGAGUCCGGAAGAGGCGAGCGGAAUUCCUGGUGUAGCGGUGAAAUGCGCAGAUAUCAGGAGGAACACCAAUGGCGAAGGCAGCUCGCUGGGACGGUACUGACGCUGAGACGCGAAAGCGUGGGGAGCAAACAGG